rnacentral:misc_RNA from 1 species
GAUGAAGAACGUAGCGAAAUGCGAUAAGUAAUGUGAAUUGCAGAAUUCAGUGAAUCAUCGAAUCUUUGAACGCACCUUGCGCCCUUUGGCUAUUCCGAAGGGCAUGCCUGUUUGAGUAUCAUGAACACCUCAACUCUCAUGGUUUGCCAUGAUGAGCUUGGACUUUGGGGGUCUUGCCGGCCUAUGGGUCGGCUCCUCUCAAAUUAAUCAGCUUGCCAGUGUUUGGUGGCAUCACAGGUGUGAUAACUAUCUACGCUUGUGGUUUUCCAUCAGGUAACCUUCAGUGAUGGAGGUUCGCUGGGGCUCAUAAAUGUCUCUCCUCAGUGAGGACAGCUUUUUUGAACGUUUGAUCUCAAAUCAGGUAGGACUACCCGCCGAACUUAAGCAUAUCAAUAAGCGGAGGA